rnacentral:rRNA from 1 species
AGUGCUUGCACUGAAUGGACGUCGACCGGCGCACGGGUGAGUAACGCGUAUCCAACCUUCCCGUUACUGCGGGAUAACCUGCCGAAAGGCAGACUAAUACCGCAUGUUCUUCGAUGACGGCAUCAGAUUCGAAGCAAAGAUCCGUCGGUAACGGAGGGGGAUGCGUCUGAUUAGCUAGUUGGCGGGGCGACGGCCCACCAAGGCGACGAUCAGUAGGGGUUCUGAGAGGAAGGUCCCCCACAUUGGAACUGAGACACGGUCCAAACUCCUACGGGAGGCAGCAGUGAGGAAUAUUGGUCAAUGGGCGGAAGCCUGAACCAGCCAAGUAGCGUGCAGGAGGACGGCCCUACGGGUUGUAAACUGCUUUUAUGCGGGGAUAAAGUGAGGGACGCGUCCCUUUUUGCAGGUACCGCAUGAAUAAGGACCGGCUAAUUCCGUGCCAGCAGCCGCGGUAAUACGGAAGGUCCGGGCGUUAUCCGGAUUUAUUGGGUUUAAAGGGAGCGUAGGCCGGGGAUUAAGUGUGUUGUGAAAUGUAGGCGCCCAACGUCUGACUUGCAGCGCAUACUGGUUCCCUUGAGUACGCGCAACGCCGGCGGAAUUCGUCGUGUAGCGGUGAAAUGCUUAGAUAUGACGAAGAACCCCGAUUGCGAAGGCAGCCGGCGGGAGCGCAACUGACGCUGAAGCUCGAAGGUGCGGGUAUCGAACAGGAUUAGAUACCCUGGUAGUCCGCACGGUAAACGAUGGAUGCCCGCUGUCGGCGCCUUGCGCCGGC